GACGUAGGGGGCGAGCGUUGUCCGGAUUCAUUGGGCGUAAAGCGCGCGCAGGCGGCCCGGUAAGUCGGAUGUGAAAUCCCACGGCUCAACCGUGGAACUGCAUUCGAUACUGUCGGGCUAGAGGCAGGUAGGGGAGAUCGGAAUUCCUGGUGUAGCGGUGAAAUGCGCAGAUAUCAGGAGGAACACCGGUGGCGAAGGCGGGUCUCUGGGCCGAUACUGACGCUGAGGAGCGAAAGCGUGGGGAGCGAACAGG
rnacentral:rRNA from 1 species